CAAAAUGUUUUCGAUACUUAGUUAGCAUUGGCUGUUUCUAUGCUAAUUUAUGGUCAUAGUACAGCCAAUGUUUGCUUCAGUUCGGAUUCAAUAAC
rnacentral:pre_miRNA from 1 species